AGAGUUUGAUCCUGGCUCAGGAUGAACGCUAGCUACAGGCUUAACACAUGCAAGUCGAGGGGAAACGAUAUUGGAAGCUUGCUUCCGAUAGUCGUCGACCGGCGCACGGGUGAGUAACGCGUAUCCAACCUGCCCACCACUUGGGGAUAACCUUGCGAAAGUAAGACUAAUACCCGAUGAUAUCUCUAGAAGACAUCUGAAAGGGAUUAAAGAUUUAUCGGUGAUGGAUGGGGAUGCGUCUGAUUAGCUUGUUGGCGGGGUAACGGCCCACCAAGGCAACGAUCAGUAGGGGUUCUGAGAGGAAGGUCCCCCACAUUGGAACUGAGACACGGUCCAAACUCCUACGGGAGGCAGCAGUGAGGAAUAUUGGUCAAUGGGCGAGAGCCUGAACCAGCCAAGUAGCGUGCAGGACGACGGCCCUAUGGGUUGUAAACUGCUUUUAUAAGGGAAUAAAGUGAGUCUCGUGAGACUUUUUGCAUGUACCUUAUGAAUAAGGACCGGCUAAUUCCGUGCCAGCAGCCGCGGUAAUACGGAAGGUCCGGGCGUUAUCCGGAUUUAUUGGGUUUAAAGGGAGCGUAGGCCGGAGAUUAAGCGUGUUGUGAAAUGUAGACGCUCAACGUCUGCACUGCAGCGCGAACUGGUUUCCUUGAGUACGCACAAAGUGGGCGGAAUUCGUGGUGUAGCGGUGAAAUGCUUAGAUAUCACGAAGAACUCCGAUUGCGAAGGCAGCUCACUGGAGCGCAACUGACGCUGAAGCUCGAAAGUGCGGGUAUCGAACAGGAUUAGAUACCCUGGUAGUCCGCACGGUAAACGAUGGAUGCCCGCUGUUGGUCUGAAUAGGUCAGCGGCCAAGCGAAAGCAUUAAGCAUCCCACCUGGGGAGUACGCCGGCAACGGUGAAACCCAAAGGAAUUGACGGGGACCCGCACAAGCAGCGGAGCAUGUGGUUUAAUUCGAAGCAACGCGAAGAACCUUACCAGGGCUUGACAUCCCUCUGACCGGACUUUAACAGGUCUUUCUCUACGGAGCAGAGGUGACAGGUGGUGCAUGGUUGUCGUCAGCUCGUGUCGUGAGAUGUUGGGUUAAGUCCCGCAACGAGCGCAACCCUUGUCAUUAGUUGCCAUCAUUAAGUUGGGCACUCUAGUGAGACUGCCGGGGACAACUCGGAGGAAGGUGGGGAUGACGUCAAAUCAUCAUGCCCCUUAUGUUCUGGGCUACACACGUGCUACAAUGGCCGGUACAGAAAGCAGCGAAGUCGUGAGGCGGAGCAAAUCUCCAAAACCGGUCCCAGUUCGGAUUGCAGGCUGCAACUCGCCUGCAUGAAGUUGGAGUUGCUAGUAAUCGCAGAUCAGAAUGCUGCGGUGAAUGCGUUCCCGGGUCUUGUACACACCGCCCGUCACACCAUGGAAGUUGGGGGCGCCCGAAGUCGGUUAGCAAAUAGACUGCCUAAGGCGAAACCAAUGACUGGGGUGAAGUCGUAACAAGGUA
rnacentral:rRNA from 1 species